CUCCUACGGAGGGCAGCAGUGGGGAAUCUUGCACAAUGGAGGAAACUCUGAUGCAGCGACGCCGCGUGAGCGAUGAAGCCUUCGGGGUGUAAAGCUCUUUCGACGGGAACGAUAAUGACGGUACCCGAAGAAGAAGCUGCGGCUAACUACGUGCCAGCCGCCGCGGUAAUAC
rnacentral:rRNA from 1 species